rnacentral:sRNA from 1 species
AGAUUCGACACAAAACCCGGAAGGACCCCGCCGAAGGUUUUCUCCGGUUCGUGAGAGGGACGGAGUCCCGCUCUGUCACGCAGGCUGCCAGGCUGGCGUACAGUGGCGCAAUCUCAGCUCACUGCAACCUCCACCUCCUGGGUUCAAGCGAUUUUCUUGCCUCUGCCUCCUGAGUAGCUGGGAUUACUGGCACACACCACCAAUGCACAGUUGCAGGAAUUUAGCCAAUUCAGAGAUCUUGUUCUCCAUAAUUUGGAAUUUUCCUUCGGAUUUGAUCAAGUUGGAUAGAGUUGGUCAAACCCAAUGGGAAAAAGAUGAAAACAACAAGAAACAGAAACAAACAACAACAGCAACAACAACAAAAACAGUUAAGUGAAACAAACAAACAAUCACACAAUUUAUGUGGUCACUGAGUGCUCUAAUAGUAAGGAGAAAUUAAGACCAGCUGGCUGUUAGUCUUAACUCUAGCCAAGACAAAACUCCAAUUCAGCUACUUACCUAGUAAUGAGUCUCAGGCUGAAGUCUGCUCUCUCUCAUCCUAGAAGCAGGAAAAAACUGAAACUCAUCUUCCCUGUUGGAAACGAGCUCAAACUCCAGAAAGGAGUUACCUGCCUUCCAUCAUCAUGGAAGCAGGAAAAUUUGCCUUCCCUGUUGGAAGCAAGUAAAACUCCAAAAAGGAGUUGCACAGCAAAAUAAACUUCAGAUCUCAACAAAUUUGGGGAGAUCAGGGAUUCUCUGGGGGUGGGGUGGCUCCCAGGCCUCAGCCAAUUGUCCUAUUGGUUUCAGCCAUAAAGACAGCUCAGGCUGCUACCACACACUGAUAGGAGAUUUGUCAAAGGUCGGGGCAUCUUCACUCAGAAUCCCUCUGUGAUUACCAAUUGUGAACACAAAAUAUCUGAGAUGGGUCUCAGUCAAUUUAGAAAGUUUAUUUUGCCAAGGUUAAGGACACAUCCGUGACAUAGCCUCAGGAGGUUCUGUUGACAUGUGUGCAAGGUGGUUGGGGCACAGCUUGGUUUUACACAUUUUAGGGAGACAUGAGAUAUCAAUCAAUAUAUGUUAAGACAUAUAUCAGGUGGUCCAAAAAGGUGGGACGACUGGAAACAGGGAGGGGGCUUCCAGGUGAUAGGUAGAUAAGAGAAAAACAGUUGCAUUCUUUUGAGUUUCUAAUAAGCCUUUCACUGAAUACACAAUUUACAGGACUAAUCACUUAAGCCUUAGCCUGGCUCAGUGAAACAACAGGGCAAAGGAAGCAAUCAGCUAUGCAUUUGUCUCACGUGAGCAGAGGGAUGACUUUGAGUUCUGUCUAGCUAUCUUGUUUAGGAAUAUAAUGAGAGGCAGGUUUGCCUCCAGUUUCCAGAUUGACUUUUCCCUUUGGCUUAGUGACUUUUACUUUGAGGUCCCAUGAUUUAUUUUCCUUUAACAUUUACAAGGAGAAGUGAAGAAAUAAGUAAAUUAGAGAGCUAGACGGAUGGAAGUUUACAGUUAGAGAGAGUGGGAUGUUGAAGGUAAUACUGGUUGCAUAUUUCUUAUCCAAAAUGCUUGGGACCAGAAGUGUUUCAGAUUUCAGAUGUUUUCAGAUUUUGGAAUAUUUGCAUUAUACAGGUUCAGCACCCCUAAUCUGAAAACCUGAAAUCCAAAAUGCUCCAAUGAUUGUUUCCUUUGAGCAUCACAAUGGUGCUCAAAAGGUUUUGGAUUUUAGAGCAUUUCAAAUUUCAAAUUUUCAGAUUAGGGAUAAUAAACCUAUAUCUCAGAAAUGGUACAUUUCUGAAUAAUGACAAAUUGUCAUUAUUUGCCAUGAGAAUUGUCAUUAAUGUGGGUGGAGAUGGGGAUGAUUGUAGGUCAAGAGAUUGAAGCAGUAGGGCAGGCUUGGGUGUUAGUACGGCCCUUCAUGGGAAUGUGUUGAUGUCAUCCAGGGUCACGGGAGGCUUCUGAGUGGGAAGGAAGCUGAGCGCCUAUGGUUACAGUCUUCACUGAUGAAGGCAGACAGUAGGAGGUUGGCAGAUGGUGGGCACUGACUAGACUGGAAGUGCCAAGAACUUCAGUGGAGCAAGGUUUUACCCAAGACACAGAGGUUGUGGUCUAGAGCAGCCCAGGGAUGAAGGAUCACCCAUUGGAGAGGACUGUGGGGAAAACAGAGCCCUGGGAGAUGAACCAAGCAUCAGUUGAGGCUGGAACAGUUAAAAUGUGUACAUCAAAUUCUCUCCAAGGACACUGUACCCUUGGCUGAAAAUUCCCUCCUUAGUCUAUUUCCCAUCCCAAAUUCUACCCAUCCACACUGUGGCAUCCUAGGUCUCUGUAGCAGCUGAACAAGCAGGCCUCCGUAACAACUGUUUCAGCACUGACUGAGUGGUUAAGUUAAAUAUUAAAAGUUGAAAGAGCCAGUAACCUUAUACAAAGGCUGGAAUAGAACAAAAGCCCACCGCAAGUUUUUGCCUAAGUCUUUCCUGUGCCUUGAACCAUGACAAGAGGAGGAAGGAAUUCUUAACCAGACCCAUUUAGGAUUAAGUAAGUUUUUAUUGGCUGGGUACAGUGGCUCACACCUAUAAUCUCAGCACUUUGGGAGGCUGAGGCAGGCAGAUCACCUGAGGUCAGGAGUUUGAGACCAGCCUCCUGGCCAACAUGGUGAAACUCUGUCUCUACUAAAAGUACCAAAAUGAGCCAAGCAUGGUGGCGGGAGCCUGUAGUCCCAACUACUCAGGAGGCUGGGGCAGGAGAAUCGCUUGAACCCGGAAAGCGGAGGUUGCAGUGACCUGGGAUCACACCACUGCACUUCAGCCUGGGCAACAGAGUGAGACUCCAUCUC